rnacentral:rRNA from 1 species
UAACUCCGUGCCAGCAGCCGCGGUAAUACGGAGGGUGCGAGCGUUAAUCGGAAUUACUGGGCGUAAAGCGCACGCAGGCGGUUUGUUAAGCUAGAUGUGAAAGCCCCGGGCUCAACCUGGGAUGGUCAUUUAGAACUGGCAGACUAGAGUCUUGGAGAGGGGAGUGGAAAUUCCAGGUGUAGCGGUGAAAUGCGUAGAUAUCUGGAGGAACAUCAGUGGCGAAGGCGACUCCCUGGCCAAAGACUGACGCUCAUGUGCGAAAGUGUGGGUAGCGAACAGGAUUAGAUACCCUGGUAGUCCACACCGUAAACGCUGUCUACUAGCUGUGUGUGUCUUUAAGACGUGCGUAGCGAAGCUAACGCGCUAAGUAGACCGCCUGGGGAGUACGGCCGCAAGGUUAAAACUCAAAUGAAUUGACGGGG